GAAGAUGGCUCAGUGGCUAAGAGCACAGACUGCUCUUCCAGAGGUUCUGGGUUCAAUUCCCAGCAUCCUUA
rfam:Mesocricetus auratus contig138500, whole genome shotgun sequence.